rnacentral:rRNA from 1 species
GACGAACGCUGGCGGCGGGCUUAACACAUGCAAGUCGAACGGAAAGGCCCUGCUUUUGUGCUUUGCUCGAGUUGCGAACGGGUGAGUAACACUUGAGUAACCUGCCCUUGACUUUGGGUUAACUUCAGGCAACUGGGGCUAAUACCAGAUAGGAGCUCCUGCUUCAUGGUGGGGGUUGGAAAGUUUCGGCGGUUUGGGAUGGACUCGCGGCUUAUCAGCUGGUUGGUGUGGUAGUGGCUUACCAAGGCUUCGACGCGUAGCCGCCCCGAGAGGGUGACCGGCCAACUGGCGACUGAGCUACGGCCCAGAGCAGUACGGGAGGCAGAAGUGUGGACGAUUGCACGAUGCGGCGAAGUCGGAUGCAGGAUGGCCGCGUGCGGGAUGAUGGCCUUCGGGUUGUAAACGGUUAUGGGAGGUACGGAACCGUCAGUGCCGGUAAUGGGUAAAGAAGUACCGGCUAACUACGUG